rnacentral:piRNA from 1 species
UGCCAGAGUUGCACUGCCUCGCUGU